rnacentral:rRNA from 1 species
UACGUAGGGUGCAAGCGUUGUCCGGAAUUAUUGGGCGUAAAAGAGCUCGUAGGCGGUUUUGUUGCGUCGGCUGUGAAAUCCCCGAGGCUCAACCUCGGGUCUGCAGUCGAUACGAGCAAAACUAGAGUGUUGCAGGGGAGACUGGAAUUCCUGGUGUAGCGGUGAAAUGCGCAGAUAUCAGGAGGAACACCGAUGGCGAAGGCAGGUCUCUGGGCAUUAAACUGACGUGAGGAAGCGAA